rnacentral:lncRNA from 1 species
UCCUUGGCCACGCAAGUUACCUGUGUGCCCAGAGAGGCAGCGGAUUUCACCGGAUGAUUAAAACCCAGGGGAAUUCAAAGUUCACCCAAACGCGUCUGUAUAACGUACCUUGUUCAACUCCUGCUCAUAGACUCGUCCUCCGCCUGUCUGUGUGGUCCCGGAGGGUCGUGGAAGGAAGUUUCCAAAAUUGAGCACCAUCCUGUGCAUGAGGAUGCGGG